GCUCGGCUGCUUGCUCCCUCCUUUCGGUCAGCAGAUCAAGAUUCAAACAUAUCUGCUCGUCGUUCUCUUGCUCAUUGAAAUGAUCUGUCCGGUGUGUGGUCGUUCCUAUCUCAGCCGGCACGACCGCUUCGUGUCCGAAAGCCAAAGCGAACGGUGUCUCCCCCGUUGCGGUUUUGUGGGUUGUUCUGUAUGCCCAUAGCACACCUGACAGCUCGUCAACC
rnacentral:lncRNA from 1 species